UUCCAGACUCCUACGGGAGGCAGCAGUGGGGAAUAUUGCACAAUGGGGGAAACCCUGAUGCAGCGACGCCGCGUGAGUGAAGAAGUAUUUCGGUAUGUAAAGCUCUAUCAGCAGGGAAGAUAAUGACGGUACCUGACUAAGAAGCCCCGGCUAACUACGUGCCAGCAGCCGCGGUAAUACGUAGGGGGCAAGCGUUAUCCGGAUUUACUGGGUGUAAAGGGUGCGUAGGUGGCAUGGCAAGUCAGAAGUGAAAGCCCGGGGCUCAACCCCGCGGACUGCUUUUGAAACUGUCAGGCUGGAGUACAGGAGAGGUAAGCGGAAUUCCUAGUGUAGCGGUGAAAUGCGUAGAUAUUAGGAGGAACACCAGUGGCGAAGGCGGCUUGCUGGACAGUAACUGACACUGAGGCACGAAAGCGUGGGGAGCAAACAGGAUUAGAUACCCGUGUA
rnacentral:rRNA from 1 species